rnacentral:rRNA from 1 species
UACGUAGGGGGCAAGCGUUGUCCGGAUUUACUGGGCGUAAAGCGCGCGUAGGCGGGAAGAGAAGUCCGGUGGGAAAGCCCACGGCUCAACCGUGGAAGGACGCUGGAAACUCUCUUUCUUGAGGGCGGCAGGAGGGAAGUGGAAUUGCUGGUGUAGCGGUGAAAUGCGUAGAUAUCAGCAGGAACACCCGUGGCGAAGGCCGGCUUCC